rnacentral:rRNA from 1 species
AGGACGAACGCUGGCGGCGUGCCUAACACAUGCAAGUCGAGCGAGGAGAUUCCUCGGGAUGAUCCUAGCGGCGGACGGGUGAGGUAACACGUGGGCAACCUGCCUCAUAGAGAGGAAUAGCCUUCCGAAAGGGAGAUUAAUACCUCAUAACAUUGCAGUUUCGCAUGAAACAGCAAUUAAAGGAGCAAUCCGCUAUGAGAUGGGCCCGCGGCGCAUUAGCUAGUUGGUGAGGUAACGGCUCACCAAGGCGGCGAUGCGUAGCCGACCUGAGAGGGUGAUCGGCCACAUUGGGACUGAGACACGGCCCAGACUCCUACGGGAGGCAGCAGUGGGGAAUAUUGCACAAUGGGGGAAACCCUGAUGCAGCCAACGCCGCGUGAGUGAUGACGGCCUUCGGGUUGUAAAGCUCUGUCUUCAGGGACGAUAAUGACGGUACCUGAGGAGGAAGCCACGGCUAACUACGUGCCAGCAGCAGC